GACAGAGGGGGCAAGCGUUGCUCGGAAUUACUGGGCGUAAAGGGCGCGUAGGCGGGAUGGCAAGUCGGUCGUGAAAUCCCUCGGCUCAACUGAGGAGCGUCGAUCGAAACUGCCGUUCUUGAGGGUUGCAGAGGAGACUGGAAUUCCCGGUGUAGCGGUGAAAUGUGUAGAGAUCGGGAGGAACACCGGUGGCGAAGGCGGGUCUCUGGGCAACUCCUGGCGCUGAGGCGCGAAAGCGUGGGGAGCAAACGGG
rnacentral:rRNA from 1 species